rnacentral:rRNA from 1 species
UAAUACAGAGGGUGCAAGCGUUAAUCGGAUUUACUGGGCGUAAAGGGUGUGUAGGUGGUUUGGCAAGUCGGUUGUGAAAUCCCCGGGCUCAACCUGGGAAUUGCUUCCGAGACUGCUUGACUAGAGUACGGUAGAGGGCGGUGGAAUUUCCGGUGUAGCGGUGAAAUGCGUAGAUAUCGGAAGGAACACCAAUGGCGAAGGCAGCCGCCUGGGCCUGUACUGACACUGAGACACGAAAGCGUGGGGAUCAAACAGG